UACGGAGGGUGCAAGCGUUGUCCGGAUUUAUUGGGUUUAAAGGGUGCGUAGGCGGCCCGUUAAGUCCGGGGUGAAAGCCCACAGCUCAACUGUGGAACUGCCCUGGAUACUGGCGCGCUUGAGUCCAGACGAGGUUGGCGGAAUGGAUGCUGUAGCGGUGAAAUGCAUAGAUAGCAUCCAGAACCCCGAUUGCGUAGGCAGCUGACUAGGCUGGUACUGACACUGAGGCACGAAAGCGUGGGGAGCGAACAGG
rnacentral:rRNA from 1 species